ACGAAAAGACUGAGAAACGAUCCAGAUUGAAAGAGAAUGAAGGCAACAUAUGAUUAUGAAGUGGAUCCUUUUGCUAUAAAGGACAUUAUCGGGACACUUGAAAGGUAGACUUACAAAGGAUGAAAUUGAUCUCUACUACUAAGUGGAUCCAUCUUCAAGAGAGGGCGUUCAGAACACCCGGAAAGAUAAGAAAGGGGCCUGAGCAAAGCCUGAGAAGGGACGCGCAGGACAAAUUUGCGGGGAAAGAGAGAAGAUUGGGCAAAAAUUUGGCAUGAGAACAGCCUUUAACCUGUCCCUUCAAUACAUUUGCUGCCUCAGAAAGGAAGAGGCCACAAGGAGCUCCUGGUUUCUACUACAGCCUCCAGAGUCUCUAAUUCCGUCCCCAAGGAUGGUGUGGGCAGCAUGGUUGGGGGGCAUCCACGGUCUUCAGCGGUCCCACUCUGGAGCCUCCCACACCACACUGUGGGCACUGUGGACAUUCAUCCAUUCUCCGUGAAGGAGCUAGAGCCAUCUUUGCCAAGAGCAAACCUGAUCAUAAUCCUCCCCGGCUUAAAACCGAUAUGCAGUAUAGCCUGCUGAUAGCAGUGCAGACCUCGCUUCUGCUAGGACAACUGGAUGCCAUCAUCCUGAAUCGGACACCUCACCUGACAUCAAACAGCGGGACAGGGCCCAAGGCCCUUGGGUGCCCACAACACACUGAUUGAUCAGCCCAGAUCUCACCACCAUCGCUCACUUGCCUUUCUAAUUUGGGACAGAGAAAGUUUGUGAGUUUUAUUUUGUCUUUUUUUUUUCUCCAGAUUUAAAGAUCUAUUCCCUUUCCUCUCCCCCAAACCUCAUUCCCCAGAACCUAGAUUCUGUGCCAAAUUGGGUUUCCAAGCCUAGCAGUAUAAAACAAAAAAACAAACAAACUCCUACCCAGAGCUCAAUCUUUGGUCUCUUAUUCUUUCUUUUUUUUUUUUCCUUUAGUAAAAUCU
rnacentral:lncRNA from 1 species